rnacentral:lncRNA from 1 species
CCGGGGAUUGAACUCUGGCCCUUGCGCUUGCAAGGCCACCGAACCUCUGAGCUAAAAACCCGGCUGUCAAGUUUUGGCACUUUGAAGCUGAAGCGUUUUUGCAGUAUCCGGUGAAGUCGUUAGCUUUUGGAUAUGGAUCUAGAGCUCACAGAAGAGACCGGGAUUCUGUAUGAACCUGAGUCCUCACACAGAUCAAAAACCAUACCCAGAGAGCAAGGUGUGCAUGUGUGCAAAUACAGGUUCUCAAGGCC